rnacentral:lncRNA from 1 species
CAUUAUCAUCACGACUUGUUGUAAUUUGUCAUAAGAGAUUAUUAGACCCUUUGAACUCCUUCGUAAGUAGUCACGCCCUGUAAAAGCAAUCCGAAUAUACACAAGUAAACAAGUAUUCAAGAUGAUGUUGACUUACUUUUUAAUUUUUGUUAUGAUUGGAAUAAUCAUCACUCAGAAAGCCCCAGCAUUGACGCCACAGCAAAUAGCUAAUAUAAAAAUAAAAAUGCAGAAGGAAUGUUCAAAGUGUAAAAUGUGUGAAACGCAGAACAAUAGCAUUCAUCCAUGUGAUUCACCCCUGUGUAGCGGAACGAUGCUUAACGUUGGACCUUGUAAAAUGUGCUCUCAAUACCCGAGUUGUUACAUGUGUAAAAGUAUGUGUCUUCUAUUACCAAUGAUAUCUCAAAUUCCGCCAUCUUUUGGCAAGUGAUACUGUCAUAUAUUGCUACUUUGCUGCAUUGAUUGGAUUCAUUACUUGUUCAUUAUGUCAGUAUACGACAAAUACAAAUUGUAUUAUUUCUUCUAUAACCUGGAUGUAAUUAUACUAUGUAUAAAUGACACGCAGCAGUACACGAACAUCACAAUGGACAAAAAGGAUUUAUAAGAGAAAGUUAUUGUGAAAACUAAUAAAUUCACCUUUAUUUUUAUAUCAUUCAUAUAUUCAAUUUGUAUAUCUUUAAUUUCUUAAAUCUAUUUAUUUUCUUCUUUGGUUAACUUCUAAAUUCUUUUUAUAUUAUGAUGAUUCUUUAAUGUAUUAAUAUGGUUAUUACUCGCUAUCGUUUUUCUGCAGAUGCAAUAAUUUAGUAAAAAAAAGUACGUGACAUCAAACAUGUUUUAAAAAUGGGUUAUUAUAUUUAUAAUUUUAAAUAGCCGACUAGAGAAUAUUUAAUUUAAUGUGAGACCUCUAAAUCAAUGUUGGAGUUUAUAACCUAUAAUAUUAAAACCUUUUUCAUCCAUAAUUUAUUUUUUCUUAUUUUUCUGAGUAAACAUUAGAAGUAUUCUUGAAAUAGUCAGACUUUUGAUCUGAGUUAACUAUUUAAAGCAUCAUUCCAGUCAGCUAAGAGGUUUUUUGAAAAAUUAAUUCUGUUUUGUCAUUAUGUUUGUGUAUGUGUUGCUUUAUUUGAAUAUAAUAUAUUGUACCUUGUUUUGCGGAGAGGGCUUACAUAGGCUAUGCCUGUUGCCCAAUCCAAUUUAUUUGAAUAAAAUAUUGUUUUAACUAAACUAUUGUGACCAUUAGUUUUCAGCAAUUGAUAACUUUAUUUUAUCUAUUUUUUGUGGCAUUGUUAAUUGUUAAUGAAGUGUUAACUUUCAAUGAUUUUGUUUAGUAUUAUUAGUAUUUUCAUUUAUUAAAAGUCUAUUAUGGUUAUAUAA